rnacentral:rRNA from 1 species
UAGGGAAUAUUGGACAAUGGCGGCAACCCUGAUCCAGCCAUGCCGCGUGAGUGAAGAAGGCCCUCGGGUUGUAAAGCUCUUUUGUCCGGAAAGAAAAGCAUUCGGUGAAUACCCGGAUGUUCUGACGGUACCGGAAGAAUGAGCACCGGCUAACUUCGUGCCAGCAGCCGCGGUAAUACGAAGGGUGCAAGCGUUACUCGGAAUUACUGGGCGUAAAGCGUGCGUAGGUGGUUGUUUAAGUCUGAUGUGAAAGCCCUGGGCUCAACCUGGCAAUGGGCUUGGAAACUGAGCAGCUAGAGUGCGGUAGAGGGUAGUGGAAUUCCCGGUGUAGCAGGGAAAUGCGUAGAGAUCGGGAGGAACAUCAGUGGCGAAGGCGAUUGCCUGGACCAGCACUGACACUGAGGCACGAAAGCGUGGGGAGCAAACA